AUGAGCAAUUUAGCUCAUCAACACUUCCAAAACAUAUUUGGCUCUGACCAUCCACGAUCUGUUGCGCUAAAUUGGGAUGAGCUCGAUCGUGAGCAUGUGGAUUUGUUGGGCCUUGAGGGAGAAAUCACCCUAGAGGAAGUGAAGAGAGCAAUCGACGAAAUGCCAGCAGACAAAGCGCCGGGGCCGGAUGGCUUCUCGGGGGGAUUUUUCAAACAAUGCUGGGAAACCAUCAAGCAAGAUCUGCUAGACGCCCCCAAGCAAUUAUACAGAAUGGACAGUCGAGGUCUAGCGCGUAUUAACAUUGCUAUCUUGGUGCUCAUUCCUAAGAAACAGGGGGCGGACACGCUACAAGAGUUCAGGCCAAUCUCACUCCUUCACAGUCUGAUCAAAAUCUUCUCUAAAAUCCUAGUGGGUAGGCUGGCCCCUAAGCUAGGUGAUCUGGUCGAUCAAUGUCAAAAUGCGUUUAUCAAAAAACGCAACAUCCAAGAAAAUUUCUUGUACAUUCAGAACACUAUUAAGAGGCUACACAAGACAAAGACACCGUCAAUCCUUCUGAAACUUGAUAUUGCCAAGGCCUUCGACUCGCUUUCAUGGGCAUACCUGAUGGAUAUGUUAGAAGCGUGA
rnacentral:rRNA from 1 species